rnacentral:piRNA from 1 species
UUAAAACAGUUUUAGGUUUUUGGAAA